rnacentral:lncRNA from 1 species
ACAUGGAUUAUCCCGACCAAAGUUUUACUGAAUUGAAACACACUGAUACGUUAACUCCUACUUAUUCGGAGGGAUCAAUUUCAUCUUGACUCACAUAUUGACUUCGCAAGCACUUGACUGUACCCAAAAAUCUUUCAUCACUGAAUUAGAAAUUCAAGUAAUCUUGCAUCAAAACACAGUGAGUUGCUUGCAAGUCACCGUGGUGA